rnacentral:rRNA from 1 species
UACGGAGGAUCCAAGCGUUAUCCGGAAUCAUUGGGUUUAAAGGGUCCGUAGGCGGUUUUGUAAGUCAGUGGUGAAAGCCCAUCGCUCAACGGUGGAACGGCCAUUGAUACUGCAAGACUUGAAUUACUAGGAAGUAACUAGAAUAUGUAGUGUAGCGGUGAAAUGCUUAGAUAUUAAAUGGAAUACCAAUUGCGAAGGCAGGUUACUACUAGUUGAUUGACGCUGAUGGACGAAAGCGUGGGGAGCGAACAGG